UUCUGGUCAACGCUUUGAUAAAAAUCAAAUUCUCUUAUAUCAAUCAAUCAUCUAAUAAGCUCAACAUUCCAACACUCUAUGACCAAUAAGUUUGACUCAAGUCAAUCCUCUAAUUGAAGCAUCUACAACAAUUUGACGUGAAUUCUUUGAUGCAAACUUCCUUUGAUCAUAUUAACUCAGUGGACAAGAUAUUUUCUGAAGAAGUUAUAAAGCACGAAAAAAUGACAAAAUAAUCUUUUUCGAUAUUCACGCCAGAUGUCCUAAUAGUACCAUAAGUACAAGAUUUGUGCGCCAUUCCCUAAAACAGUAGAAAAUUAACGGCAUCAAUUCAGUAUUGUAAAUGACGCAUAUAACCCAUAAGAUUGUGUUGAACGAAGAUAAGCCAAAGAAAAAAUAAUCAAAAUUUCUUGCCUUAAAGUCCAAGGGAAAAAUGAUGCUUCUAAGGCUCUACAAAUCGAACAACUAGAGGAAAGUGAGUCUAAUUAGAGUAUAGAUUAGAAGAUGAUGAGAUUUUCUUUCUCUCUAAGAGAGUUAAAUGUCCGAGAACCUUUUCCCUAGAAGGAUUUAAAAAACUCCAGAGAUACUAGAAACAAAAAGGAGAAAUUAGAAAAGAAGCAGAUCAUCUAUUACAAGUAAAAAGUGUAGGGAGGUAGUAUUCCAAUUUUGUUCGGCCAAUAAAAAAGUAAGUAAUAAUAUGUUUAAUUCUAAUAUUUUGCAUUUAUUGUUAUAAAAUAAAAUAAAAAUCAUCAUUUCAUAAAGUAGGCCUAAUUUUGAGUCUAUAUUACAUAAGUAUUAAAUUUACAAUUGGCCUAAAAAUAAUAAAACAAAAAUAUAAUAAAAUAAUUAACAUCAGUGUGUGCCCCGAACCUCAUUCUUUUCGGCUUUCUAUUUUUCUUCCUUUUUAGUAAUAAGGCUAUAAUCUUCACAAUUCCAUAAUUUCUGCAAAACAAUAGAAAACCAUAACUCAAUUUAUCUCAUGUUUACAAAGAUUCAUCUUUGUCGCCUAUAAAUUGAGAACCAAAAAUACAAUAAAGAGGGAGGGGACUUCUUUAAAAGAUAAAACCAAAAAAAGGCAACGCAAAGAAAAUAUAUAAAAAAUAAGAGUUGAGAAAUGAAGAAUCAGUAAGAAACACAUUUCCAUCUUCUAGCCUUCAACAACACCAAUUAUAGAAACCACCAUUUUUCUACUACCAUCAAAGAAACAACAAAAAAUAUAAAGAGAAAAAUAUUUGAGAGAUGAAAAAGAAUCAUAGAAGAAGAAGAAAGAAGAAAAGGGAGGAACAUUACUUGUGUUGGUACAAGACCGUUGCUUUCGUUUCCAGACCUCAUGCCACCACCACCUCAAUUUCUGAUCAUUCGUGUGCACCUUCGUUAGCCAACCACCACGACCCCUCUACGAGCAACUCCGGUGCAAACCACCACUGUACACGAAGUCCUUCGUCAUCACUUUCCCCAUCUCACAUUUGUACUCUUUCUCUCUAACCUUGUCUUUAUUUAUUUAUUUAUUUAUUUUUUCACCUGAACUUUUCCUCUCAGAAAGUGCCACACUACUUCAUCUUCG
rnacentral:lncRNA from 1 species